rnacentral:rRNA from 1 species
GUGAACGCUGGCGGUAGGCCUCACACCUGCAAGUCGCACGGCAGCACAGUAAGAGCUUGCUCUUACGGGUGGCGAGUGGCGGACGGGUGAGGAAUACAUCGGAAUCUACUUUUUCGUGGGGGAUAACGUAGGGAAACUUACGCUAAUACCGCAUACGACCUACGGGUGAAAGCAGGGGAUCUUCGGACCUUGCGCGAUUGAAUGAGCCGAUGUCGGAUUAGCUAGUUGGCGGGGUAAAGGCCCACCAAGGCGACGAUCCGUAGCUGGUCUGAGAGGAUGAGCGCCCACCUUGAAACUGAGACCCGGCCCAACCUCCUCCGGGGGGCAGCGGGGGGGAAUAUUGGCCAAGGGGCGCAAGCCUGAUCCAGCCAUCCCGGGGGGGUGAAGAAGGCCUUCGGGUUGUAAAGCCCUUUUGUUGGGAAAAAAAAGCAGCAGGUUAAUACCCCGCUGUUUUGCCGGUACCAAAAGAAUAAGCCCCGGUUAACUGCGU